rnacentral:lncRNA from 1 species
GUCGUUAAUUUGGGGGGGCAUCGCACUUUUGGGCUGUGUCAGAAUUUGGGGGGGGGGCGCGAUUUAGAUCUAUAAUUUUUUUGGGGGGGAAUUUUCGGAGUUUGGCCGAAUUUGGGGGGGGGGAAGGGGGAGUGGGGUCCCGUUUGAGGCAAAGAAUUUUUGGGGGGCGCCGCUAAAUUUUUAAAUUUUUUUGGAUUAUUUUGGGUGAAACCCCCCCGAUUUUCCCAAAGGGGGGGUGGGGACACAAUUUGGGGAGGGGGAUCCCCACCCCCCGCCCCCCCCCCAAAGUCGGGGUGGCACAAGCCCGAACUUGUCCGGGGCGGGGCGGGGCGGUGACGUCACGGUUGGGCGGUGACGUCACGGGUGGGCGUGGCGCGCUCCGCCGGUGCCGAUCGCGCCCGUCCCGAGCGGUUCAUGCGGCUCCAGCCCCCCGGGAGCGAUGGCCAGACCGCUGCGGGAAGGGACCCUCGGGGAGCCCCCAGCCCCCCUCCCCUCGCACCCCUCCUGUGGGGGGGGCGGGGGGCGCCCCCCCACGCGCGACCCCCGCCCCUCCCCCACGCGCCUCAACUGCGGGGACCCCCCCCCCGCGACCCCCCCGGACUUUGGGAUCUACGGGUGGGGAGCGCACGGUGAUUUCGGCCCCUCGGAGCCCCCGGGGACCCCCCAAAUUGGGGGGGGUCCCGUCCCCAACGGGCGCCUGCCCGGACCCCCCCCCGGGCCGGAGCAGAUUUUGGGGGCGCGGCUGCGGCUCCUCGGGGACGCCUUCCAGCACAGCCACGAGCGGCAGCGCCGCGGGCUGUUCUGGGGGCCGCUCCUCCGCUGGGUGGCGCCCUGGCUCGGCAACGCGCCCGCAGCGCCCCUGGCGGCCAGAGGCGGGAACUGACCUGCGGAACACCUGGAAAACACCUGGAAAACCGCUGGAAAACACCUGGAAAACACCUGGAAAACUCAGACACACCUGGAGGAACCCGCGCGACGCUGACAGGACAGCGGGGAAAGCGACGCGACCCCGAUUUAAAGCGAACACGCAAAGCACAACCCCCCCCCCCAAAUGGGAGUUGGUAGCGCCCGACCCCCCAUUUGGUUUUAUUUAUUUGGGGUAA